rnacentral:rRNA from 1 species
GACAGAGGAGGCAAGCGUUGUUCGGAAUCAUUGGGCUUAAAGAGGGUGUAGGCGGCCGCGCAAGUGUUCUGUGAAAUGCCACGGCUCAACCGUGGAAUGGCAGGGCAAACUACGUGGCUUGAGGUCGGUAGAGGUGCCUGGAACUCUUGGUGGAGCGGUGAAAUGCGUAGAUAUCAAGAGGAACGCCGGAGGCGAAAGCGGGGCACUGGGCCGAUUCUGACGCUGAGACCCGAAAGCGUGGGGAGCAAACAGGAUUAGAUACCCCAGUA